GGAUGUGGCUCAGUUUGGUAGAGCGCUUGACUGGGGGUCAAGAGGCCGCAGGUUCAAGUCCUGUCAUU
rnacentral:tRNA from 1 species